UCAAAACCCGGAAAUGACAGCAGAACAACAGACAACAUUUGUAAGUAAUAUGACAUGUUUUAUUCCCUAACAUUUCAUUGCGUUAAGUAGACUGUUGGUAGGGUAUCCCAGAA